UACGGGGGGGGCAAGCGUUGUUCGAAAUUACUGGGCGUAAAGGGCUCGUAGGCGGCCAACUAAGUCAGACGUGAAAUCCCUCGGCUUAACCAGGGAACUGCAUCUGAUACUGGAUGGCUUGAGUUCGGGAGAGGGAUGCGGAAUUCCAGGUGUAGCGGUGAAAUGCGUAGAUAUCUGGAGGAACACCGGUGGCGAAGGCGGCAUCCUGGACCGACACUGACGCUGAGGAGCGAAAGCCAGGGGAGCAAACGGG
rnacentral:rRNA from 1 species